CUGGUGGAAACACCUUUCUAUUUUUGGGGAGUGGAUCUCCAUAAAGCAGCCAGGGUUGGCUGAUGCUCCUCUCUUACAUCUGUGCCUGUUCCCAAAGGUCCAUCCCUCCAUCCUUGCUCCAUCCCAAUACCACAGUCGAUCACCAAGAGAUCCAGAGGAUAGUGAGGCACCCAUGGGCCUUUGAGUCCCAUCUGGCUUCCAAUCCUGACUCAGGACAUCUACAAGCUGAACGUGGUCUCUUCAUUCUAAAAAUGAGCUACUCACAGCUACAUGUCUGGAGUCAAGGGUUUGUCUUCUCAGAUCAGUGUGACAUCUUGAGUGACAUAAUCUCAGCACCAUCAUUGAGCCACAGCCAAAACACAUUUCACUUGGCCCAGGAGGAGUACAGUCAUGAGUAUGAUGAGGAUCAGGCUUCCCUGGAGCAGGACCUAGAAAUCCAGGACCCUAGAAAUCCAGAUAGAAAGUGAACUGUCCUUGUCUGCCAUGAACUGCUGCCAUGGAUGUAAUGUACUGCAUAGGUUCAAACAACAAAGGCCAAAUGACUAUGGACUGAAACCUCUGAAGCUG